rnacentral:ncRNA from 1 species
UACUGCAAGGAGUCUAAUUCAUAGGGCGUUUGAAUAAAAUGAAAUGUAAUGCAUCGCGCAUUAUACAUCACGUGAAUUUGUGAUGGGGAUUUGGGGUUGCAAUUAUUCCCCAUGAAUGCAGAAUUCCCAGUAAAUACGGGGCAUAAACUCGCUUUGAUUAAGUCCCUG